rnacentral:rRNA from 1 species
GACGAACUGUCCUAACGUUGUUCGGAAUCACUGGGCUUAAAGGGCGCGUAGGCGGUCGAUCAAGUCAGGGGUGAAAUCCUGGAGCUCAACUCCAGAACUGCCUUUGAUACUGGCGAUCUUGAAUCCGGGAGAGGGAUGCAGAAUUCCAGGUGUAGCGGUGAAAUGCGUAGAUAUCUGGAGGAACACCGGUGGCGAAGGCGGCAUCCUGGACCGACAUUGACGCUGAGGCGCGAAAGCCAGGGGAGCAAACAGG